UUAUACAAGUGUAAAUAAAUCAAAUCGGAGAAAGUAAUAAAAUUAUAUUAAAUUAAAAUCAAUUUUGCUAAAUAAAGUAUUUUAGUAUUUUAGUAUUACCAACCUUUGAAAAUGUAUUCAGCACAGUGAAGACACUUUUUAUUCAACGACAGUGCACUCGUAUGGAAGAUAUUAAAUUCUAUGGUUCGAUAUGAAAACUUAGUGAGCAUGAAGUGAGCUAGAGAAGAGUAUAAUGUUUGAAUUCAAAAAAGUGUCUUAUGUGUAUCUAUCGGUAUGUUUUAUCAUCAUUGUAUGAAGUAGACAUUACCAACAGAAAAGUAGAAUUUCUUUACCGACCAGGAACGAAGCGAGUGGAAAAUUGUGGAAAAGGAAAGAAAAAGAGAGAGACUGAGAGACUGAGAGAUAGAGAGGGAUAGAGUAUAUACGUCAAAGGAGACCGAAAAAGGAUUCUCUCUUCUCCCACGUUUACGUAUAACCAUGUACGAAGUUCUUGUGAUAUUGCCUUUGGCUACAGAGAAACGAAUUAAUUCGAGAUGUUAAUUUACAGAAGUGGUAACAAUCGGUAAGUGUGCUUCUCCUCUUGUUCCUCUUCUCUUCCUCCUCCUCCUCCACCCCUCCAUCCCUCCUUCUCUUCCUUCUCUACUUCUUUAUCGUAUUCACGACCUCUUCCCUCGUGUCUUGUCGAGAUGUUCUCUGUCUCUUUCUCUCUCUUUCUCUUCAUCCACCAAAGAGAUCAGAGAAAGUCGAAAGUAAACGGAAUUCUCGCAGAAGUCAAACGUUUUCCUUGUUCUCACUUUGCGGGAAACGCUUUUCA